rnacentral:rRNA from 1 species
AAAUAGAUCCUGGAACCGUAUGCUUACAAAAAGUAGGAGCCCGCAAGGGUGACUGCGUACCUUUUGUAUAAUGGGUCAGCGACUUACAUUCAGUGGCAAGGUUAACCGAAUAGGGAAGCCGUAGAGAAAUCGAGUCCGAAUAGGGCGAAUUAGUCGCUGGGUGUAGACCCGAAACCAAGUGAUCUAUCCAUGGGCAGGAUGAAGGUGCCGUAACAGGUACUGGAGGUCCGAACCGACUAAUGUUGCAAAAUUAGCGGAUGACCUGUGGAUAGGGGUGAAAGGCUAAACAAACUUGGAAAUAGCUGGUUCUCUCCGAAAACUAUUUAGGUAGUGCCUCAAGUAUUACCUGCGGGGGUAGAGCACUGUUUUGGCUAGGGGGUCAUGGCGACUUACCAAACCAAGGCAAACUCCGAAUACCGCAGAGUACAGCUUGGGAGACAGAGCACCGGGUGCUAACGUCCGGACUCAAGAGGGAAACAACCCAGACCGCCAGCUAAGGUCCCUAAAAUUGGCUAAGUGGGAAACGAAGUGGGAAGGCUAAAACAGUCAGGAUGUUGGCUUAGAAGCAGCCAUCAUUUAAAGAAAGCGUAAUAGCUCACUGAUCGAGUCGUCCUGCGCGGAAGAUGUAACGGGGCUAAGCCAGUUACCGAAGCUGCGGAUUUGCAAUUUAUUGCAAGUGGUAGGAGAGCGUUCUGUAAGCCUGUGAAGGUGCGUUGUAAAGCGUGCUGGAGGUAUCAGAAGUGCGAAUGCUGACAUGAGUAGCGUUAAAGGGGGUGAAAAGCCCCCUCGCCGUAAGCGCAAGGUUUUCUACGCAACGUUCAUCGGCGUAGAGUGAGUCGGCCCCUAAGGCGAGGCAGAGAUGCGUAGUUGAUGGGAAACAGGUCAAUAUUCCUGUACCGAUGUGUAGUGCGAUGUGGGGACGGAGAAGGUUAGCUCAGCAGACUGUUGGAUAUGUCUGUUCAAGCCUGUAGUCGUGCCUGGUAGGUAAAUCCGCCGGGCUUAGAUGAGGGGUGAUAACGAGGAAGCUUGCUUCCGAAGUGAGUGAUACCCUGCUUCCAGGAAAAGCCACUAAGCUUCAGCUACACACGACUGUACCGCAAACCGACACUGGUGCGCGAGAUGAGUAUUCUAAGGCGCUUGAGAGAACUCAGGAGAAGGAACUCGGCAAAUUGACACCGUAACUUCGGAAGAAGGUGUGCCUUUAGUAUGUGAACCUGUACAAGGGGAGCAGAAUGAGGCCUCAGAGAAUCGGUGGCUGCGACUGUUUAAUAAAAACACAGCACUCUGCAAACACGAAAGUGGACGUAUAGGGUGUGACGCCUGCCCGGUGCUGGAAGAUUAAAUGAUGGGGUGCAAGCUCUUGAUUGAAGUCCCAGUAAACGGCGGCCGUAACUACAACGGUCCUAAGGUAGCGAAAUUCCUUGUCGGGUAAGUUCCGACCUGCACGAAUGGCGUAACGAUGGCCACACUGUCUCCUCCUGAGACUCAGCGAAGUUGAAAUGUUUGUGAUGAUGCAAUCUCCCCGCGGAAAGACGGAAAGACCCCAUGAACCUUUACUGUAGCUUUGUAUUGGACUUUGAACAGAUCUGUGUAGGAUAGGUGGGAGGCUUUGAAGCGUGGUCGCUAGACUGCGUGGAGCCAACGUUGAAAUACCACCCUGGUGUGUUUGAGGUUCUAACCUAGGUCCCUUAUCGGGAUCGGGGACAGUGCAUGGUAGGCAGUUUGACUGGGACGGUCUCCUCCCAAAGCGUAACGGAGGAGUUCGAAGGUACGCUAGGUACGGUCGGACAUCGUGCUAAUAGUGCAAUGGCAUAAGCGUGCUUAACUGCGAGACUGACAAGUCGAGCAGAUACGAAAGUAGGACAUAGUGAUCCGGUGGUUCUGUAUGGAAGGGCCAUCGCUCAACGGAUAAAAGGUACUCUGGGGAUAACAGGCUGAUACCGCCCAAGAGUUCAUAUCGACGGCGGUGUUUGGCACCUCGAUGUCGGCUCAUCUCAUCCUGGGGCUGUAGCCGGUCCCAAGGGUAUGGCUGUUCGCCAUUUAAAGAGGUACGUGAGCUGGGUUUAAAACGUCGUGAGACAGUUUGGUCCCUAUCUUCCGUGGGCGCUG